GACGAACGCUGGCGGCGUGCUUAACACAUGCAAGUCGAACGGGCCCGCCCCUGUUUUUGGGGGUGGGUUGAGUGGCGAACGGGUGAGUAUCACGUGAGUAACCUGCCCCCUGCUCCUGGAUAACUGCUUGAAAGGGCGGCUAAUACGGGGUGUGCCGGCUGGUCCGCAUGGGCCUGGUCGGGAUAGUUUCAUCUUCGGGUGUUUCGGUGGGGGAUGGGCUCGCGGCCUAUCAGCUUGGUGGUGGGGUGAUGGCCCACCAAGGCGGUGACGGGUAGCCGGCCUGAGAGGGUGGGCGGCCACACUGGGACUGAGACACGGCCCAGCCUCCUGCGGGAGGCAGCAGUGGGGGGUAUUGCACAAUGGGCGGAAGCCUGAUGCAGCGACGUCGCGUGAGGGAUGGAGGCCUUCGGGUUGUGAACCUCUUUCUCCGGUGGUGAAGGCCCUGUCCGUUGCGGCGGGGUUGACGGUAGCCGGGUAUGAAGCGCCGGCUAACUACGUG
rnacentral:rRNA from 1 species